CCCUGAUUUUGGGAAGCAGAGUCCCAGGUUGGAUUCCAUGAUCUCCCAACUCUUCCAACCCUCUUCAUCCUUUAAUUCCCUGAUUUUGGGAAGCAGAGUCCCAGGUUGGAUUCCAUGAUCUCCCAACUCUUCCAACCCUCUUCAUCCUUUAAUUCCCUGAUUUUGGGAAUCAGCGUCCCAGGUUGCUCUCUGUGAUCUCCCAUCCUGGUUCCUCCUUUAAUUCCCUGAUUUCGGGAAGCAGAGUCCCAGGUUGCUCUCUGGGAUCUCCCAUCCCGGUUCCUCCCUGAAUUCCCUGAUUUCGGGAAUGCCUCAGCCCAGCAGAGGGCACUGGUGCCUCUCCCACGGCCCCGAUCCCACCCACCUUUUCCCGGUUGUGGAUGGUCCCGCGGAUCGGCGUCAUUUACAGCCGUCAUUUGCAGCCAUCAUUUAUUUAUUUACAGCCGUCAUUUACAGCCAUCAUUCAUUUACAGCCGUCAUUUACAGCCAUCACCACCCGCGCCGCUAUCGGAGCCGCCACGCUCCUUCCCGGGGCAGAUAAAAACCCCGCUAAUACCUAAUUAGCCAUUUCUAAUUAGCCGGGCAAAUUGGAUUGUCUUAAAUAACCGGGAGAAGCCGAGCCAGGCAAAGAGAGAGAGAUCAAUCCCUCUCCACAUUCCUGCUGGAAUUCCAACCCACCCCCUGUAAUUGCCACUCUUAAUCAAUUUUCCCAAAUUCCAUCAGAGCUUUUAUUCCUUGGGCUGGCAAAUUUCUCCUUUCUCCUUCUUUUAUUAUUAUUUUUUUUUA